rnacentral:rRNA from 1 species
CAGCAGCCGCGGUAAUACAGAGGGUGCGAGCGUUAAUCGGAUUUACUGGGCGUAAAGCGUGCGUAGGCGGCUAAUUGAGUCGGAUGUGAAAUCCCUGAGCUUAACUUAGGAAUUGCAUUCGAUACUGGGAAGCUAGAGUAUGGGAGAGGAUGGUAGAAUUCCAGGUGUAGCGGUGAAAUGCGUAGAGAUCUGGAGGAAUACCGAUGGCGAAGGCAGCCAUCUGGCCUAAUACUGACGCUGAGGUACGAAAGCAUGGGGAGCAAACAGGAUUAGAUACCCGCGUAGUCCCUGUCUCUUAUAC